rnacentral:rRNA from 1 species
GAUGAACGCUGACAGAAUGCUUAACACAUGCAAGUCUUUGGCGAAGCUGUGCUCGCCCAGCCUAGCCAAGGCGGACGGGUGAGUAACGCGUAAGGAACUUGCCCUGCAGUCAGGGAUAACAGACGGAAACGACUGAUAAGACCUGGUAAAGUCAGGCGGACUCAUGUCCAGCCUGAUGAAAAGAGAUGCUGCAGGAGAGCCUUGCGUCCUAUUAGCUUGUUGGUGGGGUAACGGCCCACCAAGGCGAUGAUAGGUAGCCGGCCUGAGAGGGUGGACGGCCACAAGGGGACUGAGAUACGGCCCUUACUCCUACGGGAGGCAGCAGUGGGGAAUAUUGGACAAUGGGGGCAACCCUGAUCCAGCAAUUCUGUGUGCACGAUGAAGGUUUUCGGAGUGUAAAGUGCUUUCAGCAGGGAAGAAAAAAAUGACGGUACCUGCAGAAGAAGCGACGGCUAAAUACGUG